rnacentral:rRNA from 1 species
AACCUGCCCCGUAACUUUGGGAUAAGCGCUGGAAACGGCGUCUAAUACCGAAUACGCACCAUGGCGGCAUCGUCAAUGGUGGGAAAGAUUUUUCGGUUCGGGAGGGGCUCGCGGCCUAUCAGCUUGUUGGUGAGGUAAUGGCUCACCAAGGCGUCGACGGGUAGCCGGCCUGAGAGGGUGACCGGCCACACUGGGACUGAGACACGGCCCAGACUCCUACGGGAGGCAGCAGUGGGGAAUAUUGCACAAUGGGCGCAAGCCUGAUGCAGCAACGCCGCGUGAGGGAUGACGGCCUUCGGGUUGUAAACCUCUUUUAGUAGGGAAGAAGCGAAAGUGACGGUACCUGCAGAAAAAGCACCGGCUAACUACGUGCCAGCAGCCGCGGUAAUACGUAGGGUGCAAGCGUUAUCCGGAAUUAUUGGGCGUAAAGAGCUCGUAGGCGGUUUGUCGCGUCUGCUGUGAAAACUAGAGGCUCAACUUCUAGCUUGCAGUGGGUACGGGCAGACUAGAGUGCGGUAGGGGAGAUUGGAAUUCCUGGUGUAGCGGUGGAAUGCGCAGAUAUCAGGAGGAACACCGAUGGCGGAAGGCAGAUCUCUGGGCCGUAACUGACGCUGAGGAGCGAAAAGAGUGGGGAGCAAAACAGGCUUAGAUACCCUGGUAGUCCACUCCGUAAACGUUGGGAACUAGUUGUGGGGGCCUUUCUACGGUCUCCGUGACGCAGCUAACGCAUUAAGUUCCCCGCCUGGGGAGUACGGCCGCAAGGCUAAAACUCAAAGGAAUUGACGGGGACCCGCACAAGCGGCGGAGCAUGCGGAUUAAUUCGAUGCAACGCGAAGAACCUUACCAAGGCUUGACAUAUACCGGAAACGGCUGGAAACAGUCGCCCCCUUGUGGUCGGUAUACAGGUGGUGCAUGGUUGUCGUCAGCUCGUGUCGUGAGAUGUUGGGUUAAGUCCCGCAACGAGCGCAACCCUCGUUCUAUGUUGCCAGCACGUUAUGGUGGGAACUCAUGGAAUACUGCCGGGGUCAACUCGGAGGAAGGUGGGGAUGACGUCAAAUCAUCAUGCCCCUUAUGUCUUGGGCUUCACGCAUGCUACAAUGGCCGGUACAAUGGGCUGCGAUACCGUGAGGUGGAGCGAAUCCCAAAAAGCCGGUCCCAGUUCGGAUUGUAGUCUGCAACUCGACUACAUGAA